AAAUCAACAAUCGCCGAGAGUCCCAAAGGAUGUUGACGAGAUGGAGCAGAGUGAUUUCCCAGUUUGGUAGAGUAAACUCUGAGUUGGGAAGACAAUUGCGUUCUUUACACUGUCGAGAUUAUUCCAAGGUUGCCGCCGUUGCCGAGCCGCCUGCUGAUAAACUAUACAAUGUUAAUGACCAGGUAAAUUUGAACAAGAUGUUCUGGUCUAAGCCUCAUUCGCUGGCACUAGCACCUGAUUCACCAUUCAGAGUUGAAGAUCCACAGUACGAGGGCUUUAAGCGCGCUUUAUUUAAGCUAAUGCUGUUUUAUAGUAAGCAAAGCAAGUCCAUUCGAGGGGCAAAUGUUAUUUAUCGUCGUGUUGUUCACCAAGUUGACAAACCUGCUAUUUACGAUGUAUUUAGCUUGGAGAAAACAUUUAAGACCACAUUUUCCUUACUAGUUAUCCAUAUGUGGCUUUGCUUGCGACGUUUGAAACAGGAGGGUAAGGACGGUGUUGAACUGGGACAGUACUUGUAUGAGAUUUAUAAUCAUGAUGUGGAGCUG
rnacentral:misc_RNA from 1 species